GUAAAAACAACAAAGAACAAAGUUGAGAGAAAAGCUAAGAGCCAAAAAAUCACAAAACUGUAAACAUAGCAAGCAUAAAAGUGAUUAACUAACACAUUUCUGAUCCAGAGCGAAACCAACUCUUUGGUUCUCAGUUUAUUAAAGACAGAAAGGUGAACGAACUGGGAGAUAUUUUUACACAAAACAAUCAGAAAUAUCAACACGCUUUUCUUUCCAUCACAUGUUUAAUGUCAAAACAUGAAGGUAGGUUUUACCCACUAAUAACUGUCUGUUGUUACACUUAAUAUGUUAAAAUGUGUUGUCAGUUGAGUUGUUUGAACAAUAUCCAGGAGAAAUAAAAGUAAAGGUUAUUUGGAGAUCUGAAAAAUUAACUUUGAAAAGUUCAUUUUUCAUUUAAUUGAAUUCAAAAAGUGAAACUCUAGAUUCUUUACACAAAGCGUGGUAUAAUUGAAGUGUUUAUAUUUGUGUAUUUCGAUAUUGAUGUCAGUUCUGUUUCUCCACAAUUUACAAUGUUACAUAAGACAAAUAAAAAGCUUUUAGUGGAGAAAUGUAAAGUUAUUGGAAGGACUGCUGAUAGCUGACAGCUAUUAACAACUUUCACAAGACUGGUUCAUGUCAUUGCUCUAUUGAAGAAUACAAAGGGAAAAUUGAGUGGAAGGAAAAAGCCUGAUAGAAAAAGGUAAAAACCAGCAGGGAUAACUUCAGUUUUUAGAGGAUUGUGGAGAAAACCCAACUCAAGAAAUGGAGUCAGACUUUCUAAAGCCACUCCACACAGACAGACCUGAGCUACACCUCUCCAAACACAGAUCACUUUAGGAGCAUUUUACCUCCAACAAAAUCCUUUUGAGAUAAAGACGACGUCCGCAGCAGAUCCAACAUCAGCCCCACUGCAGACAGUCUGACCCAGGGCUGACCCAGUCCAAUUUCAGAUCCCAGCGUUCUUCUUCUAUGUGCUGGAAAACGGUCCAAAUGUAGAAUACAUUGAGCGUCUGAAUUCCCCUGAGGCUCAUUAUAACGUCAGCCAAUCCUCAGACUCCAUCUUCUCCUCUUACGCCACCGUUGUCUUCACUUACUCUGUUGUUUUGAUUGGAACCAUAAAAUUCAGUU